UGGGGAAUAUUGCACAAUGGGGGAAACCCUGAUGCAGCGACGCCGCGUGAACGAAGAAGGUAUUCGUAUCGUAAAGUUCUGUCCUAUGGGAAGAUAAUGACAGUACCAUAGAAGAAAGCUCCGGCUAAAUACGUGCCAGCAGCCGCGGUAAUACGUAUGGAGCGAGCGUUGUCCGGAAUUAUUGGGCGUAAAGGGUACGCAGGCGGUUUAAUAAGUCGAAUGUUAAAGAUCGGGGCUCAACCCCGCAAAGCAUUGGAAACUGAUAAACUUGAGUAGUGGAGAGGAAAGUGGAAUUCCUAGUGUAGUGGUGAAAUACGUAGAUAUUAGGAGGAAUACCAGUAGCGAAGGCGACUUUCUGGACACAAACUGACGCUGAGGUACGAAAGCGUGAGGAGCAGACAGG
rnacentral:rRNA from 1 species